GAGUUUGAUCAUGGCUCAGAGUGAACGCUGGCGGCAGGCCUAAUACAUGCAAGUCGAACGGCAGCACAGGGGAGCUUGCUCCCUGGGUGGCGAGUGGCGGACGGGUGAGGAAUACGUGGGAAUCUGCCCAGUCGUGGGGGAUAACGUAGGGAAACUUACGCUAAUACCGCAUGCGCCCUUCGGGGGAAAGCCGGGGACCUUCGGGCCUGGCGCGAUUGGAUGAGCCCACGUCGGAUUAGCUUGUUGGCGGGGUAACGGCCCACCAAGGCGACGAUCCGUAGCUGGUCUGAGAGGAUGAUCAGCCACACUGGAACUGAGACACGGUCCAGACUCCUACGGGAGGCAGCAGUAGGGAAUAUUGGACAAUGGGCGCAAGCCUGAUCCAGCCAUGCCGCGUGAGUGAAGAA
rnacentral:rRNA from 1 species